UACAAGCUACUACUCUAAGAUUUUUGAAUUGAAGUGAUCUUCUUCUUCACUUUAUUUUCAAUUUACAAGUUUCUACUCUUUUUUCAAUCUCAUCUAUUUUUGUGAAAAUAAAUUUAAUCACCUCAACGACCCCGCAAUGAUAAAGAAGUUACAAAAGAAAUUGAUCGAAACAUAAAAAUAAAUCAAUGACGUCAUCUUCAAAAACAAAAUCUAAAGAGAACACAUCACGAUGGCCUUCACCAAAGGUAUGCCAAAAAGUAUCAUUAGUUCUAUUGUGCUUCUGAUAAUUUGAAAUGACAAAUCGUAUUCCAAAUCUCCUAGUCAAUUAUGUAUCAUCAACUGAUUUGUGCAUUAUGAUACAUUACAUUUAUGUAUGAGAUCACACCAUAGCCAUAUGGAUUGAUUGGCAUGACAAAAAAAUACAUUUUUAUUUAUAUAUCAAAUCUUAUCAUUGUCGUUCAGAUACAUAAUAGUUGAAAAGAUACAUAUAAUUUAUUUAUCAGUUCACCUCAAAUGCUUUGCAGAUACAUACAUAAAAAAAAAGAUACAUGACAUUUAUGUACCUUUUCUUAGAAAGAUACAUAUCCUAUGUUAUACUAUGUUAUACAAAGGGGGUCCUCCUAUUACCCCCUGAACUAGAUUUUAGCGUAUUUUUAUCAAUCUUUUUAGCUGAUGUGACACCUUUGACAUGAGCCUCAUUUUAUAUAAUAAAGGUGCCAAAUCAACAUAAAAAGGUAAAAAAAAUAUGUUAAAAUUGAGCUCAGAGGGUAAUAGGGUCCCUGUCAAGUUGGAGUGUGUCGUAGCAACUCUGAUCAUAGUUCGGGAGGUACUAGAUGUUUAUCUCUUUUUGUUAAUUACAAUUUUUAAUGUUUGCAGGGCAUGGAAUGUUCAUUGUGAUUACAUAAUAAGAUUCAAAAAAGUGAAAAACACAGAUUGUGAAUUUUGUUAGAAUUCGAACAAAUUAGCUUGAUUCUAUAUAAGAAAUUUGAUUCUGCAUUCUGUUUCUGUUUUUAAGGGGUGAAACAACCAUAUUCCAAUCACUAUUUCGUUAAUUGCUCCUUGAAUAGUACUAGUUUAGUUAGUUGUUGUUUUUAAAAUUCUUUUUUUUUUUAAAAUGUUUCUUCAGCAAAUUUAUCUUUACACAUUUAUGUAUUAGGUGAGCAUAAAAGAAGGAGUUUUCUGUAAUUAUGAUAAAUAUCAAUUUUUUUUUGUAAUUAUGAUAGAUAUC
rnacentral:lncRNA from 1 species